GGCCCUUUAGCUCAGUGGUUAGAGCAGGCGACUCAUAAUCGCUUGGUCGUUGGUUCAAACCCAACAGGGGGGCACCA
rnacentral:tRNA from 1 species